GCCGCGGUGGUGGAACUGGUAUACACGCAGCACUUAAAAUGCUGUCUCGAAUGAGAUGCGGGUUCGAUUCCCGCCCGCGGCA
rnacentral:tRNA from 1 species